CUUCAGACCGUACAAAAUGAAGGACGUGGCAAGAAAAAUAUAAAGUCAAUCUCUCACCGCACUCCACGAAGUCUUCAGAUUUUCCAAAUUCAGACUGCAUAACACAGCCUUGCUUCUGCAGAUGGUUAUUGCUAGUAAAGGACAAUAGCGAAGAAAAGUACUCGGCCCAGGCCGAGCGGCAUUGGGAAAACAAUAAUAGUUGAGCAACGACAGCCACCGCGACUGACUGACUGGCAGCUGCCAUUUUUUUUCUGCGGGUCUGCUUCUUUGGGAAGCGCACGAUGAGGCUGGGGUGAGAUGCGCCACGGCCGUGUCCUCUGGAAGAUGUAGUUCUACCAGCUCAGACACCGGUUUGUUCAUUGGAAGGAAGGACUACAUCUCCCGACAGGUAUCGGGUGACGCCUUCUGACGCUUUCACCCAGCUGGAGGGUCACGAUUCCGACGCAUGGGCUGGUAACCCGGCAACGGCGAGGAGCUGGGGUGGUGUGUGUGAGGAGAUGGUCUGGGCCUCGCGUUCGAGUUUGUCGAAAGUGAGCGGCCGUUGGUCGGAAUGGCGGCGUGUUAUCGGUGCGUGGAAUGCAAUGAGGAGGCGCAAGAACUUCACAGGGACUAUAGCCGCGGCGUCAUCAAGAUAACCAUCUGUAAAUCAUGCCAGAAACCAGUUGACAAGUACAUUGAAUAUGACCCAGUGAUCAUACUCAUUGAUGCAAUCUUGUGCAAAGUGCAAGCUUAUAGGCAUAUCAUCCUCAACACUAAAAUUAAUAUUCAUUGGAAGCUGUGCAUAUUCUGCUUGUUGUGUGAAGCAUAUCUUCGAUGGUCACAGCUACAGGACUCACAGCAAGCAGUUGAUCCAACAGAUAUAAUUCGUUAUGCCAAAGAAUGGGAUUUCUACCAGAUGUUUGGAUUAGCUAGUUUGGAACUAGCAGCAUUCCUCAGUGGGACACUUUUCAUUUUGUGGUUAACAAACAAAGAUUUCAUCCAGAAGAAAUCAAACUGCAACACAUUGCUAGUAGCUUUAUUACUAUCUGGCUAUGGGAAACUCCUUGUGAUUCCAGCUGUGAUCUGGGAACAUGACUAUUCACCACUAUACAUUGGCCUCAUCAAGUUCUUUGUGCUUGCAUCAAAUUCCCAAGCUGUCAGAGUAGUGUUGAAUAGCAGCAGGAGAUUUGCAUUGUCUGUCAUUUUUGUUGGAUGGAUUGUGGAGCAAUUAGCAGCCUGCAUCUUUCAACAGCUCCAAUUGACUGCGUAGUGUGUGAGAAAUAUCUAAGAACAUAAAUAUGGGGGAUGAUAAGAACUGGCUUGUCAGCCAUUUGAAUUGCUUCUUCCACAAAACUUUGAUUCCACUGAUACACACUCUCUGCAACGAUCUUGCGAAAGAUUUUAACAGCACAGGUAAUUUUGUAAAAAAGCAAGAACAUGAAAUUUCUUUGUAAUCAUAAAAGCACUCAAACAUAAAUCUCUUUUUGACAAUCAUUUCAAUCCUGUUUAUAUUCAAAAUGAUUCAGUUAUUUUAUGUAUAUCAUGGAAAUAGGCAGAAUUGUUGUCUUGCAUUCUCUGAAGAUAGAAUUCCAAUUCUGAAGAACAACAUAGCUUUUGUACAAAAUAGCAGGCAGAUGUCCCCAUCAACAACUGCAAUGGCAUCUGUUUGGCACUUUUUAGUCCUAAAUAAUAAAUAAGAUUAUGAAUCUUGAAUAUUCUGUUGAUUUUUCUUCCCCCACAGUUCAUGACUAUUUAGUUAGUAGUCAAAUUCACUCCUUCAAAAUACAUUUGACUGAUUUUCCAGUUUUAUUUAGUAAAACAGGAAGUCGUUUGAGAAGAUCAGCUCUUUGCUUGUACAAUCUACACAACAAUGCAUAAGUUUAUUGCAAGCUCAGUUCAAUAACUAUUGAAUGACACUGGUAAAGAGAUUUAAUUUGCUAUGGCACUGAAAUAAUAUUGAUCGCUGGUGCAAGUUUAUUUUUCUUUCUUUGUUCAGAAGUCUUAGUUGCCAAUAAUUGAAGUAGAUGUGAUAUCCAGUCACAUGAUUUUAUUUUUCAGUGAUAACUCUUAAUUUGUUCAUUGUUUGUGGGCAUUGCUGGCAAAGUCUACAUUUAUUGACUUAGUACACUUAAGAUGACAUUAAAACAGCUUGAUUGAACUGUCGCAGUCCUUUUGUGUGAAGGGGAGUUCCAAGAAUUUGACCCAGCAAAAGCAAAGAAAUGGCAGGAUCUUUCUAAGUGAGGUUGGUGGGCAGCUUAGAAGAUGACAUGCAGAUUUGUCCUAUUGACAAGACAAGAUUACAAGCUCCAAGCUCCUGGAUUGUGCUAAUUCCAUCAGCAUGCAUUCAUUGGUAAGCCAACAAUGUCUGCACUGGCUCAGCCAUAUUCAAUGAAUGAUUGCUGUAUGCUCAGACUUUCUUUAUUGUGAAUUGGUCUUUGGAUCACCUUUUUCUUAGCAUGGGUUCUCUGCUGCAUGAACAUCAGUAAGCAACAUCAUAAGACAGUAACUGUUGACACUGACAUCUGGAAGAUGACUCCCUGGAAACCUUCAGUCUGACUGAAAGAUCGGAGUGAAAAUGCUCGGCUAGCUGGUGAAGAGACCCCAAAAAAAAAACUGAAACCAGCAAAUCCAGCUCUUCCUCAUUCUUCAUCUGUCAUACCAGAGUGAGCUCCUGAGCUACAGCAGGUGAUACUUAACAGAGAUGACUAACACUGCAUAAAUCAUUGUCUUGCAAGAUUGAAGACUGGCCCCCUCUCUGAAGCCAGGAAAUGUGAUGCAUGAUACCCAGUCUUGCUCUUGUAGCCAAAGUAUUUCUAUGGUUGGUCCAUUAGAUCCAUUUCCAAUCAAUAAUAGCUCAUAUUUCAGAGAACGAGGCAAAUGUUUAUGGUUUGAGAGGCACUAAUCUCCAUCAAACAUGGCUGACCAGAAACGUCCAAAGCGUCAAAGUGACAGGUCCCACUUUAUUUGUCUCUGUUAUGGGUGCAUCUGUUUUUGGUUGGAUGCCGUCAGCUCCAUUGUGAUUUCAAGCACUUGAGAGUUGACCUCUCAUUGACCAUGGCUGCUUAUCGUAAACCCCUGAUUGGUAAUGGUGUCUGAUAAAUGUCAAAGGGUGAUGAUUAGAUUCUCUCUUUAGAAAUGAUCGUUGCCUGGAAAGUAAAAGCUACUUUUUGUGGAAGUUGGCCAUAAUUUUAAAUAAAAGUGAAAAUUUUAAGUGAAAUAA